UACGUAGGGUGCAAGCGUUGUCCGGAAUUAUUGGGCGUAAAGAGCUCGUAGGCGGUCUGUCGCGUCUGCUGUGAAAACUCAGGGCUUAACCCUGAGCUUGCAGUGGGUACGGGCAGACUAGAGUGCGGUAGGGGGAGACUGGAAUUCCUGGUGUAGCGGUGAAAUGCGCAGAUAUCAGGAGGAACACCGGUGGCGAAGGCGGGUCUCUGGGCCGUAACUGACGCUGGAGGAGCGGAAAAGCAUGGGGAGCGAACAGG
rnacentral:rRNA from 1 species